rnacentral:rRNA from 1 species
GAUGAACGCUGGCGGCGUGCCUAAUACAUGCAAGUCGAGCGAACGGACGAGAAGCUUGCUUCUCUGAUGUUAGCGGCGGACGGGUGAGUAACACGUGGAUAACCUACCUAUAAGACUGGGAUAACUUCGGGAAACCGUAGCUAAUACCGGAUAAUAUUUUGAACCGCAUGGUUCAAAAGUGAAAGACGGUCUUGCUGUCACUUAUAGAUGGAUCCGCGCUGCAUUAGCUAGUUGGUAAGGUAGCGGCUUACCAAGGCAACGAUGCAUAGCCGACCUGAGAGGGUGAUCGGCCACACUGGAACUGAGACACGGUCCAGACUCCUACGGGAGGCAGCAGUAGGGAAUCUUCCGCAAUGGGCGAAAGCCUGACAGAGCAACGCCGCGUGAGUGAUGAAGGUCUUCGGAUCGUAAAACUCUGUUAUUAGGGAAGAACAUAUGUGUAAGUAACUGUGCACAUCUUGACGGUACCUAAUCAGAAAGCCACGGCUAACUACGUG